GAUUAGACGUUGAAGAGAAGAGUAGUGCCAAGAACUUUUUCCAGAGAGCCCCGGUUGGUGUGAGGGGUAAUUGUUACUGACACGAAGAUGAGCUCCGAGUUAUUCCCCUGGUCAACUGGCUGGGUGAACGGCUGACAGCCGAUAUCCUGUCGGGUCUUCACCUCAUCAGGUGAGUACUUAUUAAGGCCACUAAUGUGAGUUAGUGGCGAAUUCAGGGUGGUACCGCGAAAAGCCUUCGUCCCGGAU
rnacentral:ncRNA from 1 species